rnacentral:rRNA from 1 species
UACAGAGGUCUCAAGCGUUGUUCGGAUCAUUGGGCGUAAAGGGUGCGUAGGCGGCGCGGUAAGUCGGGUGUGAAAUCUCGGGGCUUAACUCCGAAACUGCAUUCGAUACUGCCGUGCUUGAGGACUGGAGAGGAGACUGGAAUUUACGGUGUAGCGGUGAAAUGCGUAGAUAUUCGUAAGGAAGACCAGUGGCGAAGGCGGGUCUCUGGACAGUUCCUGACGCUGAGGCACGAAGGUCAGGGGAGCAAAACGGG